AGCAGCCGCGGUAAUUCCAGCUCCAAUAGCGUAUAUUAAAGUUGUUGCAGUUAAAAAGCUUGUAGUUGAAUUUCGGGGUCAGUAGGUUGGUCGUGCCACUGGUAUGCACUGGUCUCACUGAUUCCUCCCUCUUGUAGAACCGUAAUGCCAUUAAUUUGGUGUUGCGGGGAAACAGGACUGUUACUUUGAAAAAAUUAGAGUGUUUAAAGCAGGCUAACGCUUGAAUACAUUAGCAUGGAAUAAUGAAAUAGGACGUUCGAUCCUAUUUUGUUGGUUUCUAGGAUUGACGUAAUGAUUAAUAGGGAUAGUUGGGGGCAUUAGUAUUCAAUUGUCAGAGGUGAAAUUCUUGGAUUUAUUGAAGACUGACUACUGCGAAAGCAUUUGCCAAGGAUGUUUUCAUUAAUCAAGAACGAAAGUUAGGGGAUCGAAGACGAUCAGAUACCGUCGUAGUCUUAACCAUAAACUAUGCCGACUAGGGAUCGGAUGAUGUUAAUUUUUAAUGACUCAUUCGGCGCCUUAC
rnacentral:rRNA from 1 species